rnacentral:RNase_P_RNA from 1 species
GGAGUCGGCCGGGCGAUCGCUGCUGCAGCAAUGCAGGGGAGGAAAGUCCGGGCUCCACAGGGCAGAGUGCCAGGUAACGCCUGGGCGGCGCGAGCCGACGGAAAGUGCAACAGAGAGCAGACCGCCGAUGGCCUGCUGUUCGUGAGGGGCACUGGUCGACCGUAGGUCGACACAGUGUUCCUGCACCGCCGAAAGGCGGCGCGAAUAGCAGGAUCAGGCAAGGGUGAAACGGUGCGGUAAGAGCGCACCACGAGUCUGGCAACAGACCGGUACGGCAAACCCCACUCGGAGCAAGACCAAAUAGGGUUCCAUACGCGCGGCCCGCGCGGGAACCGGGUAGGUUGCUUGAGCCCGCUGGCGACGGCGGGCCUAGAGGAAUGAUCGUCCUCGACAGAACCCGGCUUACAGGCCGACUCCACCU